rnacentral:misc_RNA from 1 species
GAUGAAGAACGCAGCGAAAUGCGAUAAGUAAUGUGAAUUGCAGAAUUCAGUGAAUCAUCGAAUCUUUGAACGCACCUUGCGCUCCUUGGUAUUCCGAGGAGCAUGCCUGUUUGAGUGUCAUGAAUCUCUCAAACUCUUAGUUUCAUUACUGAGUGUUUGGAUUUGGAGGUCUAUGCUGGCGCAAGUCAGCUCCUCUUAAAUACAUUAGCUUGGGUCUUGCAUGUCUGGAUCCUUGGUGUGAUAAUUAUCUACGCCAUGAUGUCCUUUCAAGCCCUGCUUCUAAUCGUCUGAAUAAGACAAUUUAUUACUUGACAUCUGACCUCAAAUCAGGUAGGACUACCCGCUGAACUUAAGCAUAUCAAUAAGCGGAGGA